CUGUUUUCUUCACAUUCCAACUAACUCCAUCAUAAGGCCAACACCAAAAGAAGAAAAAAAUGUGGAACCCAAAAGCAACUGUUGAAAACGCUCUCAUUCUUUUACUCCUCACGUUAUCCGUCAUGGCUAAAACCGUGUUCUCUCAGAAUUGCCAAAACACCGGGUGUCCAGGCCUCAAGGAGUGUUGCAGCUCGUGGGGUUCCUGUGGAAUCAAAGAUGACCAGUGUGGCUUUUGGUGCUUUAGUGGCCCUUGCAAUCUCACAAACAAAUCAUAUGGAUUCAACUACAACGUCAGUGCCGGUCCACGCGGUCCAAUAGAGAGCAUUGUCACACCAUCGUUGUUCAAACGCAUCAUGAGCAAAGUAGGAAACAACUGCCCGGCAAAAGGGUUCUACACUCACCACGCUUUUAUCUCGGCGGUUAAAUCGUUCCAAGCCUAUAAACGAACGGUGGCUAAGCGCGAGGUCGCAGCCAUAUUGACUCAUUUCGCUCACGGAUCUGAAGGCUUUUGUUACAAAGAAGAUAAAGCGAGAGGGAAGUACUGUUCUCCGAGCAAGAAGUACCCUUGUGAACCAGGAAAGCAAUACUAUGGUCGUGGUCCGCUUCAAUCAAUCAGAUGGAACGAGUACUAUGGUGCAGCCAGCAUAUUCCUUAGGUUGCCUCUUUUGAAAGAUCCGGAUAGGGUGGCUCAGAGCCCGGAAGUGGCUUUCAAAUUGGCAUUGUGGUUCUGGACCACAAAUGUGCGUCCAGCUUUGUACCUAGGAUUUGGAGAAUCCUCGAAGAGAGUUGACGGUCGACUAUGCGAUAACUUACAUCCUAACGAUACUAAGAAUCUGGUUAACCAAUACGUGAACUUGUGCAAGAUCCUUGAGAUUACUCCUGAUGAAGAUGCCAGGUCAGAAAUUAGUGCAUUCUGGAGGCGACACCUGUCCGCUUUAAUGAAACGUUGUGCUUCGACUCGGGCUUCUAUCAUUACAGGCCGAUAUGGGCUUAGCUUUGUACGUUAAGGUCCUGCGAACAAAAGCGCGAACCCUAAUUGACUCCUUGGUUCAUCUGAGUUCGAUUUCGGCGGCAACCACGACGAUCGAUUGUUCUCUAUCUCUCUGUAACCCUGAUUUGAUUCCGUGAGUCACUCUAUGUUCUUCAGUCUUCUACGUUUGACGGCGUCGGUGACUCUCCACCAUCUUCACGAAUCUGAAACGGAGUCCUAUUGAAUGGAGAUCCUCCGGUUUCUUUGCUAAGCUUAUUUGUUGUAAAGAUAUCGUCCUCUUCCCUCAGAUGAGACUCAUGCUUUUAGAAUCUCUAUCUCACACGAUCCUAGCCAUACUGACUGUUCCAAUUGUUGUUGGAGGAGGAAACAUAUUUCGUGGAUACACCUGGGCUGGGUGCAGUGGCCUUGACCGUUUCUCUGCUGAUUAUAUCAGGUAAUGGGUUAACUGCAAGUAUAGCAGCAUUUUGAAUUGAGGUUUUUCAAUUCUAUCUGAUAAAUCUGAAAACAAUCCGGUUAGUGAAGAAGCUUCAAGUGUAACAUGAAAAGAUGAUUUGAGAUGGUAGAUGAAGCCGAUGAGCUAUCUGUUGCAAGAAACAAAAUUUUUGCUGAUAUAAAGGUAUGAAGGGAGAGGAACUAAAAUAGAUGGCUGCCAGAGAUGUGGCUCAUUGGAACUUUCUCGCUAAAGAACUCUCCCGUUUAAUAAGUGGGUUGGGUGUUUCAUCUUUCGGUGAGCUGAAAACACUGGGCAAUACACAGAAGAUGACCCAACGUUCAGUUUCCAUGGCAGACAAUAAACAUGGUAUUAGAGCUUCUUUGGCAAGAACCUAGCCUGCGUUGCAACUAGAUCAUACUGAAGCUACAACUCUGUCCACUGUAAUCCUCGGUGAUCAUGCCAUAUGGGUCUCUCCUCCGUCCCCUCUUUUCCUGGGAACUCAGAGGUUCUUAUCUCUUAUUGAGGCUUUCUUUGUUCUGUCAGAAAAUUUAAGGCUUGCUAAUAUUACAGCAGUUUGUUUGAUUUGAAACUGUUACUUUUAAGCUUCAAAGAUUCAUGGUAUCAUAACAGAUUGAACGCAUGGGAAGCAUGGUCGAUGUGUACGUUCCUAAGAUAAAAGAUAAAAAAAUUAGCCAUUCUCUUAGAGGUUCUUAUCUCUUAUUGAGGUUUUCUUUGUUCUGUCAAAAAAUUUAAAGCCUGCUAAUAUUACAGCAGUUUGUUUGAUUUGAAACUGGUACUUUUAAGCUUCAAAGAUU